UUUGAUCAACCGCUAGACCUAAUUGAGCUACCCAAGUCCGAACCCAAUUUUAUGAAAAUAUCUUAGAUAUGAAAUUCUCAAUUUUAGACCUAACUUAAUUACAUAAGCUUAAUUUAUUAAUUAAGUUUGGGUUCAUAAAUAAAACAUGUAAAAUAAAUUCUAGGGUUUCAGGAUCUAGGGUUUUGCAGAAAAAUAAGUUUUGAUUUCUGAUUAAGGAUGAACGUGCGGCACCCCUACACAUCAUAUGAACACCCCA
rnacentral:lncRNA from 1 species